rnacentral:tmRNA from 1 species
AUGUUCAAUUACACAAACUCAAUGAUGCAUGUCGAGAGUUAUACCCUCUCGUAAAUCAAGUAUAUUUUAAAAUAGUCGCAAACGACGAAACUUACGCUCUAGCAGCCUAAGGGUUGCUUGGGUCGUCACUAACUACCUAUGGUUAGGUUGAUCACCCCGAAGCGAAUGCACAUAGGUCCGUCUUGUUAGGUGUCUUAACUAAUGAGAUUAAAUUUUAAAGACUCGUCCAAUUCUACCUGACUGUCGGUUCGAUGCGGAUUAAAUUUAUAGACAGACCCUAAACAUGUAGAUUCAUGAGCGUAAUGCUGGCGGACGCGGGUUCAACUCCCGCCAUCUCCACCA